rnacentral:misc_RNA from 1 species
UUCAAGUGUUAAUUCAGGUGAUUGCCAAAAUAUCAUAGAGAAGGAGCAAUUUUGGCUAAUACGAUCUGCUCAUUGCAACAAUGCUAGAAUCACUGGACCUAAUGCAUCGAGUAAACAGCUUCAGGGCAUUUAGGAAUGGAGAGUGAGCAGGUUGGGCUAGUUUUGAUAUUCCUUUAGGCCCAGCGUGGACAAAGGGUGUGGAGUUGGGGCGGUCUUCCAUUUCAUUUUUCAUAACGGGA